ACGUGACAUCGUUACACGAGAUCAAGACAUCAUUGAUCUCGAAGUAUCAAACAACUAUACAUCAGGCUGCUUACAAGUGAUAAGAUCGGGUUAUUACCGACCUAAAGCAAAGUACCUCAGUGUCCCAUAUAUCUGGGAUGUCGGGAAGCUCAGGUGGUAAUGACUGAGCUCCUUUAUCUCACAUCGGUAUUUCACCGAGAUCAACCACUACGACGACA
rnacentral:lncRNA from 1 species